rnacentral:lncRNA from 1 species
UCUCUUGAUCAGAUAAGUGUAGCUAAAGCUAUCACUUAUCACUUUGUCUCUUGAUCAGAUAAGUAUAGCCGAAGCUAUCACUUAUCACUUUUCACUUGUCACUUGAUCAGAUAAGUGUAGCCGAAGCUAUCACUUAUCACUUUGUCACUUGAUCAGAUAAGUAUAGCCGAAGCUAUUACUUAUCACUUUCCACUUGUCACUUGAUCAGAUAAGUGUAGCUAAAGCUACCACUUAUCACUUUGUCACUUGAUCAGAAGUACUCAAAUCCGGCGUUCCGCUCAAUUUGAUCAUUUAUUCAUAUAUCAGGCUUACCAACAUGUGUUAAUUCAUAAACCAUUCAUGGUAUUAUUUCAUGCCAAAUCAUAUACUGAAUAUACCAUACACACAUACUAUGAAACUUUAUUUUCACACAUGAGCUUAAACCAUGACCAAUAAUGCACAAAAAUAAGCAUCAUUCAUAUUUCAUCGUUUAUGAGUUAUAAUCAAACAUAUGACCAUUUAUACACGAAUCAUUCAUAUAUUUCCCAAUUUUCCUCCUCCUCCUCUCCAUUCCACAUCCUUAAUGUGUAUAACACACUUAAACAACAUUAACCAUAAUUUCAAUAUUCACUAACAUGUAUAUUCAAAGCUGUUUAUCCGAGUCAGAGUCACUAAAUUAUUUUUAUCCGGAGCUAAAGAGCUCCAAAUUAAGAUCCGUUAAUUUUCCCUGAAACUAGACUCACAUAUCUUCAUACCAUAAAAUUUUCAUAAUUUUUGGUUCAGCCAAAUAGUACAGUUUAUUCUUUAAAGUUUCCCCUGUUUCGCUGUCUGACAGUUCCGACCACUCUUCACUAAAAAUUAAUUAUCUCAUUGUACAGAAUUCGGAUGAUGUUUUAGCUUGUUUCUUCUAAAAAUAGACUCAUUAAGGAUUCUAACCAUAUAAACUAUAACUCAUAAUCAUUUUUUGUACAAGUUUUAAUAAUUUUCCAAAGUCAGAACAGGGGAACCCGAAUUCAUUCUGACAUUGUCUCACAAAAUCUAUUAUAUCUCAUGAUUUACAAUUCCAUUGCUCACAUAAUUUCUUUUAUAAGAAACUAGACUCAAUAAGCUUUAGUUUCAUAUUUUAUUCAUCCUCUAAUUCAAUCUCUACAAUUUUUGGUGAUUUUUCAAAGUUACACUACUGCUGCUGUCCAAAACUGCUUUGGUGCAAAAUGUUGAUUUCCAUUUUGCCCCAAAUUUCACAGUUUAUACAAUUCGGUCCUUUCUCAAUUAACCCCUCAAUUAAUCUAAUUUUCUCAAUUAGUACUUUACUAGACAUUAUAAGUUGUUACACAACUAUUGAAAUUCAGAAUUUCCACAUAUAACUCUAUCUUCAAACUCUUUUACUAUUAGGUCCCAAACAUUCACUUUCUAUUCAAUUCUUUCAAUAAAAUCAGCAUAUGAACAAUUUAAAGCUCUAAUUUCAUGCUAAAUCAUCAUAUACUUCCAGCACAUAUUCAUAUCAACUUUCAACUUCUUUCAUAAAAUCAAAAACUAAUGGAUUUAACAAGUGGGCCUAGUUGUAAAAGUCAUAAAAAUACAAAAAUUUCAAGAGAUAGUAAAGAAUUGAACUUACUUGUAAUAAAAAUAUGAAGAACCAGCUUGAAGAAGCCCUUCCAUGGUGUUUUAGCUGAUGAGAAUUCAGAAAAAUGAAGAGAAAUCUAGAUAAUUCCACUUGGGUCCUAACUUUAUUAAGCAAAUUUUGCAAUUUUCCAAUUUUGCCCUUAAUUCUCCUUACUUUCUUGCUGAUUUCAUGCCUCUGCCGUCCAGCCCAAAUAGACCUUGGGUCUAUUUGCCUUUUAAGCCCUCUUCCUUUUAUCAUUUAAGCUAUUUAAUCAUUUCCCAAAAUUUUGCAUUUGUUACAAUUUAGUCCUUUUAGUUCAAUUAAUUAUCGGAACUUUAAAAUUUCUUAACGAAACUUUAAUACUAACUUUUUAACACUCCAUAAAUAUUUAUAAAAAUAUUUAUGGCUCAAUUUAAAAUCCCCGAGGUCUUGAUACCUCAUUUCGAUUCUAAUUAUUUUAAUAUUUAUUUCUAGUGCACUAUUCACUAUUUCAAAAAUUUUCCUAACUUCAUAUUUAACUUAUACUUACUAGAGUAAUAAUAUUUUCUACCCAUUUGUCGAAUUUAGUGAUCUCGAAUCACCGUUCCGACACCUCUGAAAAUUCAAGCCAUUACAUUUUUUUUUUUCGUCGGAUUUGUGGUCCCGAAACCACUGUUCCGACUAAGCCUAAAUCGGGCUAUUACAACUCUCCCCCCCUUUAGGGAUUUUCGUCCCCGAAAAUCUUACCAGAUGGUAGGUUAAUGAUUUACUUCCACAGUAUAUUUCAAAUUCACACAUGAUUUUGGAUUUUCAUAUCUUUUACAGAUAAUCACAUAGAUUCAUAAGAAAAUCAGGAUAGCGAUAUUUCAGCAUCUGAAGCUACACAAAGUAUCGAAAAAUUACAAUCCAUAUAGAAUGAUAUCCAUUUUGAUAACCCGAGUAGUUUUCAAAACUAUCAAAUAUUUCUCUCUUUUUAUAUUGUCCUCAUUUUCUAAUUCAUUCACUUUUCCGACCACAUUAUUAUUCUCCCGUACACGAACUUCUGUAACACUACACUCGUAAGCUUAUUCAACCAAAAUCUCACAAAUUUCAUUGUAACAUUUUACUAAUAUGGGGGUGAGUGUAGUAAAGCCUCAAAUUUAUCUUACACAUAAAUGCGCAUAACACAUACCAUCACAAAUAGCCAAUUCAUUACUAAGUUCACAUUCUCAAAGCAUUUAAUAAACAUUUGCUUUUAAUCACUUUUAUUCUCAACACAAAAUUCUAACUCAAAUCACUAAUUCACAAUCAAAAUUUCUAUAUAGCAUCAUAAUCCAAAUAUCAUAACUCAUAUGCUUGUAUAAUUAUAACAUUCAUCAAUAAAAAAAAUGUUUUAUUCUUUGAUCCAUACCUUUAUGAGUUUCAACUCAUAAUCAAUACAUUUUCACUCAAACAUUUUAAUAUUUAUUUCUAUACUAUUAGAAUUAACUCAGUUGAAAAAUAUAUCUGUCUCAUCAAGAUAAUUUUCGUCAUAGAACAAUACUGAUAAGGGGGUGAUGGUAAAGUCAUAAAUCUUUCAACUUGCUCUCAUAGAUACAUAUAUAUAUAUGAUUUUGUAUUCAUCAUCAAUGUAAUACCAUCAUAACCACGUAAUUCAUUCCAAGCAAAUUAACACAUCUAUUUAUUACAAAUGUUUUCUGUCACUCACAAUUUCACACAACGAAUUUACUUACUCAAGCUCAACGUUAAUAUCUAUUUAAAUUCCAAUACUUGGCUUCUAUUUUACUUACCGACAUUUGCCAAAUUAGAGAACGUCUUACGGAAUUGUGUACUUCGUUUUCUCGAUGCCAUAGUCCAACUAUGGUCUUACACGUAAUCACAAAUCACAUACCGAUGCCAUAGCCCAACUAUGGUCUUACACGAAAUCACAUAUCACUUACCGAUGCCAUAGCCCAGCUAUGGUCUUACAUGGAAUCACAUAUCACACAUAUCACUUACCGAUGCCAUAGCCCAGCUAUGGUCUUACACGGAAUCACAUAAUCACAUGUUCACAUGUUGCCAUGGUCAAACCAUGGUCUUUUCCGUCAAUUCAUCACAUAUCACUGAACGAAAGUACUCAUUCCUGCGUUCUACUCAAUUUGACUUCCAAUUCAAUUUUUCAUACUAUUAUAAUAUUCAUGGUUUAGACAUAAAACAAAAUAUCUUAUUAUCUUUAAUUUAACAAUUAAACAUAAGAUUCUAUCAUAUGAACAUACUAAUUUCACUUAUUCAAGUAGAUGUACAUACACACGUUCCAUCUAUUUAAGUAAAUUUGCUUAUCAUAUUCACUUAAUCAAAUAUGUUGAGCACAUAGCAUUAUAUAAUCACCAACAUACUUGGAUGAGCUUGUCACAACAUCAACUUUUUUUUUAACUUAUAGUCAUCUCUUUUCAUACAUGAACACAUCCAUAUCACAAAUUUUUAUACUUACCUUUCCAAAUUCCAACAUAACGUGAGCAUAUUUCAUUUAUCUCAAUAUCAUUUUUAGCAUUAUCGAAAAUAGCUCGAUUGAAAAUCAUCUCUGUCUUAACAAAGCAAUUUCGUUAGAGCCCGGAGAUAUCACAUCAUCAAGAGUAAUAACAUGGCAUGUAUAGCUAGGCUCACAUAUGCUACAUUUGGUCCGAGAACCGACUAAACCGUAGCUCUGAUACCACUAAAUGUAACACCCCUUACCCAUAUCCAACACCGGAAUAGGGUACGAGGCAUUACCAAAACACAUACACUUGUAAACGUAUUUAACCGAGUUAUAAAAUUUCAUCAAAAUUAAAACUUUCAAAAUAAUUAACAUGUUUCUAUAACUUUUCACAAUAUAUCCUCAAAAUAUUAUAAUCAUAAUAAUUAGGGCCUGCGAGACCCGAUACAUACUCAUGCAAUUUAAUGCUUCAUUUCCAUUUCAUUCAAUUCGCAAUUUCUCAUGCUCAUAAUUUAAAUCAUAUCACUAGCAAUUUCCAUUUAAUUCACGUACAAUUCAAUGACAUCAAAUUCAAAACUAAUACGUAUUUACCAUUUAACUCAAUGUUUAUUGAUUAUACCAUUUAAUAACACAUUUAUGAAAUUCUCAAUUUAGCAAUGAAAAUAUCACUUUAGUUUGAAUAACAAUAUCGUCCUGAUAUAAAUACACUACCACUUAUCCAUUUACUUUAAUUCUUUUGGGCCCAUUUGUCACUUACCAUCCUUAAUCAAAUUAGGGAACGGUCACGGAAAAUUGAGUACUUCACUUUCACUUUGCCAUAGUAUAACUAUGGUCUUACGUAUGAUCACUUAUCACUUGUCCCUGAUCAGAUAAGUGUAGCCACCUAUCACUUUGUUUCUUGAUCAGAUAAGUGUAGCCACUUAUCACUUUGUUUCUUGAUCAGAUAAGUGUAGCCACUUAUCACUUUGUCUCUUGAUCAGAUAAGUGUAGCUAAAGCUAUCACUUAUCACUUUGUCUCUUGAUCAGAUAAGUAUAGCCGAAGCUAUCACUUAUCACUUUUCACUUGUCACUUGAUCAGAUAAGUGUAGCCGAAGCUAUCACUUAUCACUUUGUCACUUGAUCAGAUAAGUAUAGCCGAAGCUAUUACUUAUCACUUUCCACUUGUCACUUGAUCAGAUAAGUGUAGCUAAAGCUACCACUUAUCACUUUGUCACUUGAUCAGAAGUACUCAAAUCCGGCGUUCCGCUCAAUUUGAUCAUUUAUUCAUAUAUCAGGCUUACCAACAUGUGUUAAUUCAUAAACCAUUCAUGGUAUUAUUUCAUGCCAAAUCAUAUACUGAAUAUACCAUACACACAUACUAUGAAACUUUAUUUUCACACAUGAGCUUAAACCAUGACCAAUAAUGCACAAAAAUAAGCAUCAUUCAUAUUUCAUCGUUUAUGAGUUAUAAUCAAACAUAUGACCAUUUAUACACGAAUCAUUCAUAUAUUUCCCAAUUUUCCUCCUCCUCCUCUCCAUUCCACAUCCUUAAUGUGUAUAACACACUUAAACAACAUUAACCAUAAUUUCAAUAUUCACUAACAUGUAUAUUCAAAGCUGUUUAUCCGAGUCAGAGUCACUAAAUUAUUUUUAUCCGGAGCUAAAGAGCUCCAAAUUAAGAUCCGUUAAUUUUCCCUGAAACUAGACUCACAUAUCUUCAUACCAUAAAAUUUUCAUAAUUUUUGGUUCAGCCAAAUAGUACAGUUUAUUCUUUAAAGUUUCCCCUGUUUCGCUGUCUGACAGUUCCGACCACUCUUCACUAAAAAUUAAUUAUCUCAUUGUACAGAAUUCGGAUGAUGUUUUAGCUUGUUUCUUCUAAAAAUAGACUCAUUAAGGAUUCUAACCAUAUAAACUAUAACUCAUAAUCAUUUUUGUAC